AAGCAGAUGACAGAACAUGAUUAGAGAACGGGAGAAGCUGGCAAAGGAGUACCGUUUUAUUUUUUUUAUUUUUUUUUUUGGGUGAUCGCUGGCGGGAUUCGAUCCCGACGCCUUUUGUCUGAGAGGCGAACACCGAUCCUCUAAACCAGGAUAGCCCAUGGUCAGCUCUUGAUUUGACAAAAAAAACAACAAUACAUAGCAUUUGUAUAGUGCAAAAUCCCACUCAACAGCAAGUACUAUGCGCUUCACAAUCCAUACUAUUGCUCCAGCUGGUCUGGUAACAUUUUGAAACAUAUCUCAAACUUCCUGUGAAGCAAACAGUGCAACAUAAUAAUGUGUCUGCUCCAUCCAUACAGAGCAAGCAAGGGUCUUACCAAUGGGCUUACAGCAUUCUAUAAAUAACCUUCUCGUUACAGAGUUAACGAUAUGUUCGUUAGUCACCACUAUGAGGAGUGUGGUUUGGUUACUACAUGUGUUACGUAAACCUCUUCAGAAUCGAGUGGUAUUUUCUUGCGCAUCGACUUGAGUGAAGAUGUCGCGGUCGAGGCUUUCUCAGAUACCUGAGCCAGCCGAGUAGACUGCUAUCUGUUCAACGUUGAGAAAGACUCGCUUGUUGGUUUAACCCUAUAUGUACGUCGUGUUUUACUAUCGUAUCCUUACGACGUGGGGAAUUCUGUGCCCCCACUUUCCAAAGAGGAAAUUUACUCGUUAAUCCUGUCCGUACGCUUUGCAUAGCAGUCUGCCAAAAUGAUUUUUUGAGAAAUGCUGAAAGUUUCAAAGAGAUCUUCGCACAAGAAGUAUUCUAAAAUGUGAAGAAUACAACCCCUGGGGUACAAAAUGACCCAGGGUUGGUGUUUUCAGUAUUUAAGAAAUAUAUGGGUUUCGAUCCGGAAGCAUGUAAUAUUAUAACCGCCAAAUUA